rnacentral:lncRNA from 12 species
AUGCCCUAUAGAGGCAGUACUUCUGAAACUUUAAUAAUAAAAAAGAAAUAUUAUUAUAAAGAAUACAACGUCUAUAUACUCAGAGAAGAGACCAGAGCACAAAAGUCAGAAAGUUCCAAGGAUAAAAUGUUCCCAGCUCUGCCUUUGUGCCGAGGAACUAAAGGCCCCCGCAGUUUGAAUGUAAAAGCACAGAAGGCACGAUGCACCACGAUCACUUCUCAGUGGAGCACAGAAUUUUCCAGCAUUAAUGGGAAAGGUUUGGAGGCCACGGCACUCUCACAGGAUGUAGCAGACACUGGCUAAACAUCGCUGUCAUAUUCUUCUCCUUCCUGGGUGCACAGGUAAGCCAUAUUCCCCUUAGUUGUGGAUAGGCGUGUAGUCGAGGUCUCCUAGAAUAGGGCUGAAGGCCUAAGGCCUUCAAGAAAUAGGUGUGUGUCUUCCAUCCUUUCGGUCUCCUUCCACUGGCUGGAUGCAGAAGACAGUGAGGCCCCAGAGAAUAACUGAGCCACAAGAUGGAAGGAGGUUGGGUCCUUAAAUCAGCUCAUAGAAGAGAGCCACCUAUCAACCUGAAACACGUGCCUUGGUUUGUUGUCUGUGUGAGAAAAAGGUUGUUAUAUCUGAACCAUUAUAUGUUUGGUUCUAACUGUUAAGGUAGCCAACAACAGCCUAACUUACUAUCUGUCUCUGCCCGUAGGCUUAGUUUAAGCUGUUCUCUUUGGGUUCUGUGUUUCCUUGGAGAAGCACCCUCUUUUAUGGCCUGAGCUUCCAGUUUUUCUCAACUUCUCCUCAGUUGUGGGCUUUCAAUGCAGCCACCUCAAUUCAGUCUGCACACAUGCCCAGAGGAAGUCCCCGACAAAUCUGUCCUCUCUGUAUUCUGUGGGGCCGAGCUAAACCUCAGAGAUCAUCUGGCAUCUUCCCUGAGGCUCUCUCUUUGCUUAUAUCUGUUCUUUCUCGAAAGCAAGUGAAGUUAAAGAUCAGAGAGGGCUAGAAAUAUGCCAGUUCAUGGUCCUGAACUGAGCUUUCUGCAUCAGAAUUGCCUGGGAAGAAUUUUGUGAAACAGAAGUUCAUGGGCCUCACACGCAGAAAUUUUGAUUUGAUGUUUCUGAAAUGGAUGACUAGGGCCUAUAUUUUUAAUGUAUCUUUGUGACCUGGAUGCAGAACCACUGUGCUAGACAAUCACAUGUGAGGGCCAGCAGCAGCACUGACAAAUAUUAAUAGCGAGACAUCCCAUCAUGGUCAGUAAGAGCACAGUGAGGAAGAGCUUGGGAUUUGAAGUCACACUUGAGUUUGAGUCCAGGCUCUACCACUAACAAGUUGUGAGACUGGUAAGCUUAGUUAAUGUCUCCAAACAGCCCCGAAUUGGGCCACAAUAAUAAAACUUAAAUGAAAUAAUGACUAUAAAGUCCC